GGCACUUUCGAGACGUCUUUUAUUCACAGCCAGAAACAGAAACAUGCACAAAGAAGCCACUUCGUCUCACGCCAUCAGCUUCCUCGUCCAACCGUUCAUUUCCCCGGGGCCGGCUGAGCAGCAGCGCACACAGCCCCAGCCGCGAGGGGAGGCUCCGGCCGGAGCCCCGGGGUCCACCCGCAUCAGCCCAGGCGGCGGCGUCACGAGGCGGCCACCCCGCCAAUGCCAGCCCCGUGCGGCGGCAGCGUCAUGGGGGGCAGGAACAGAGCCUUCAGCUUUCCCGACAUGCUGGCGAUCUCCGGGUCCUGCGACUCGUAGGACUUGAUCAGGCGGGCGAACUUCAGCACCCCUUCGCCGUCGCUGCUGAAGCCGUAGGCCUUGAUCACGUCCUGCUGGAUCUGCGUGGCCACGGGCAGCAGGAACUGCAGCAUCUUGCCCAUGUCGUUACACGCGUUCUCCCGGGCCUCGUCCAUGCGCUGCACGUUCUCAGGAGCCCCGAAGGCCUUGAUCACCUCGGCCAGCACCACUUUCGCCUGCUCCGCGCUGAGCGCCGGCGGCGGAGCCUGGGCGGAGGCCGCCAUGAGGGCCCGCGCUGCCCCUCACCGCCAGCCGCCCGCCUCCCUCCUCACAGCGCAAGCGCCGCCCCUUCGCGGCCCCGCCCUACCAUUGCACCGCACAGUGGGGCUUCCCGCGGGGCGGGAAACCUGCUGGACAAAUACUAAAAGAGCUGAAAUCACUGAAAGAAAGCCCUUCGCGCGGGGGCGCGCAAGGCGCAGACCUGCCCCUAAGUAAGGGCGAGUAAGCCACUCGUUCCGGGCCGCCGUCCGAGCGGCCCCACGGCUCUUCCAGGCAUGCUGCCGCCCGCUCCGCGCUAUCGGCGGCCGCCGCAGCCACAAACCAAAGCC
rnacentral:lncRNA from 1 species